rnacentral:lncRNA from 1 species
UUUUUAUUUUUAUUUUUUUGAGUGCAUUAAUUUUAACAGCGAAUGCAUUAAUUUUUACAGUGGAUGCAUUAGAUUUGAUGGUUCUCACGAUCUCACAAAUAAUGUAGUUCUCUCCGGAACCACACCAUAUAUAUAUAAUUAUAUUUAAUGUAAUUUUGAAAUAUAAAAUAAAAUUUAAAAUUUAAUAUUUACUUUAUAAUUUAGUA